rnacentral:tRNA from 1 species
UCCCAUUUGGUGUAAUGGUUUAGCACAUUCAUAUAUCUUAUAUGAAAGACGUUAGUUCGAAUCUAGCAAUGGGAA